rnacentral:rRNA from 1 species
CACGUAGGGUGCGAGCGUUGUCCGGAAUUAUUGGGCGUAAAGAGCUCGUAGGUGGUUUGUCGCGUUGUUCGUGAAAACCUGAGGCUUAACCUUGGGCGUGCGGGCGAUACGGGCAGACUGGAGUACUGCAGGGGAGACUGGAAUUCCUGGUGUAGCGGUGAAAUGCGCAGAUAUCAGGAGGAACACCGAUGGCGAAGGCAGCUCGCUGGGACGGUACUGACGCUGAGGCGCGAAAGCUAGGGGAGCAAACGGG